GAAGGAAACCUACGGGGCGAUUGGAGGGGCUCGCGGCCUAUCAGCUAGUUGGCGAGGUAACGGCUCACCAAGGCGAUGACGGGUAGCUGGUCUGAGAGGAUGGCCAGCCACAUUGGGACUGAGAGACGGCCCAGACUCCUACGGGAGGCAGCAGUGGGGAAUCUUGCGCAAUGGCCGAAAGGCUGACGCAGCGACGCCGCGUGGAGGAUGACGCCCUUCGGGGUGUAAACUCCUGUUGCCCGGGACGAAUGCCUGUUUCGACAGGAGUGACGGUACCGGGUGAGGAAGCACCGGCUAACUCUGUGCCAGCAGCCGCGGUAAUACAGAGGGUGCGAGCGUUGUCCGGAAUCACUGGGCGUAAAGGGCGCGUAGGCGGUCGGGUAAGCGUGUGGUGAAAGUCCGGGGCUCAACCCCGGAUCGGCCAUGCGAACUGUCCGACUGGAGCACGGUAGAGGCACAUGGAAUUCCGGGUGUAGCGGUGGAAUGCGUAGAGAUCCG
rnacentral:rRNA from 1 species